ACAAAUCUAUGAAAGCAGUCAACACUGACGGCACGGAAACAUUGAAUAGCUUUUUAUUUACCGCCGAAAUAAUUACACUUGAGCGAAGUUUCUUCAGACUACAAAUAGAGUUAAGUCCUUGUGGUUGCAGUCUUCAGUAGCUGCUGCUUUGCUGCUUAUCGUUUUAUGUCCUGAACUAUUCAACUGUAAUGAUAAAAGAUGUUCUUUGUGGCUCCAGAAGAUGCUUAUGACUGACUGAAUUCAACCUGAUGCUAUAAUUCUAUGUCCUAUUGCUGAUGAACUCUAUUACUUG